UUACGGCCAUAUCACGUUAAAACACCGGUUACCGUACUAUCAGCGAAGUUAAGCAACGUCGAGACUUGUCAGUACCUAGAUGGGUGACCGCUUGGGAAUACCAAGUGUUGUAAG